rnacentral:rRNA from 1 species
CGUCGAGUGGCGAACGGGUGAGUAACACGUGGGUGAUCUGCCCUGCACUUCGGGAUAAGCUUGGGAAACUGGGUCUAAUACCGGAUAGGAGCCAUCUUUAGUGUGGUGGUUGGAAAGUUUUUCGGUGUAGGAUGAGCUCGCGGCCUAUCAGCUUGUUGGUGGGGUAAUGGCCUACCAAGGCGGCGACGGGUAGCCGGCCUGAGAGGGUGGACGGCCACAUUGGGACUGAGAUACGGCCCAG